rnacentral:rRNA from 1 species
AGAGGAAGUACAAGUCGUAACAAGGUCUCCGUUGGUGAACCAGCGGAGGGAUCAUUA